GAUGAACGCUGGCGGCGUGCCUAAUACAUGCAAGUCGAGCGAACAGACGAGGAGCUUGCUCCUCUGACGUUAGCGGCGGACGGGUGAGUAACACGUGGAUAACCUACCUAUAAGACUGGGAUAACUUCGGGAAACCGGAGCUAAUACCGGAUAAUAUAUUGAACCGCAUGGUUCAAUAGUGAAAGACGGUUUUGCUGUCACUUAUAGAUGGAUCCGCGCCGCAUUAGCUAGUUGGUAAGGUAACGGCUUACCAAGGCAACGAUGCGUAGCCGACCUGAGAGGGUGAUCGGCCACACUGGAACUGAGACACGGUCCAGACUCCUACGGGAGGCAGCAGUAGGGAAUCUUCCGCAAUGGGCGAAAGCCUGACGGAGCAACGCCGCGUGAGUGAUGAAGGUCUUCGGAUCGUAAAACUCUGUUAUUAGGGAAGAACAAAUGUGUAAGUAACUAUCCACGUCUUGACGGUACCUAAUCAGAAAGCCACGGCUAACUACGUG
rnacentral:rRNA from 1 species